GCCAGAUGUGGUGGCUCACGCCUGUAAUCCCAACACUUUGGGAGCCUGAGGCGGGCGGAUCACCUGAGGUCAGGAGUUCGAGACCAUCCUGGCUAACAUGGUGAAACCCCGUUUCUACUAAAAAUACAAAAAAUUAGCUGGGCGUGGUGGUAGGUGCCUGNNNNNNNNNNUUACAGGCACCUACCACCACGCCCAGCUAAUUUUUUGUAUUUUUAGUAGAAACGGGGUUUCCCCAUGUUGCCCAGGCUGAUCUCGAACUCCUGACCUCAAGUUAUCCACCCCCCUCAGC
rnacentral:SRP_RNA from 1 species